rnacentral:misc_RNA from 1 species
ACGCGAUAGUUAAUGUGAAUUGCAGAAUUCAGUGAAUCAUCGAGUCUUUGAACGCACAUUGCGCCCAUUGGUAUUCCUUUGGGCAUGUCUGUUUGAGCGUCAUUACAACCCUCAGCACUAGCUGGUUAUGAGUUUAUGUGUCCUCAGGGCACAUUGGCUUUAAAGUUGUACGCUCUGCGGGCUGCUUUACCAAACUAAACAUAGUAAAAUUUACUCUUGUUUAUAGUAAAGUUUUGCACGCUCCGCCUGAAUAAAAAAUCUUUUUUCAAGGUUUGACCUCAGAUCAGACAAGGAUACCCGCUGAACUUAA